GAGCCAUGAUGAAAAGAUUUUACUACUGACCUUUAUAACAAUUAAGGUUUCUGUACUUGAUCUGAGCUCA
ensembl:snoRNA